rnacentral:rRNA from 1 species
GAUGAACGCUAGCGGCAGGCCUAAUACAUGCAAGUCGAGGGGCAACAGGUGUAGCAAUACAUGCUGGCGACCGGCGCACGGGUGCGUAACACGUAUGUAAUCUACCCUUUACUGGAAGAUAGCCCGGAGAAAUUCGGAUUAAUACUCCAUAACACUAUAACAUGGCAUCAUGAAGUAGUUAAAGAUUUAUCGGUAAAGGAAGAGCAUGCGGCUGAUUAGCUAGUUGGUGAGGUAACGGCUCACCAAGGCAACGAUCAGUAGGGGACCUGAGAGGGUGAUCCCCCACACUGGUACUGAGAUACGGACCAGACUCCUACGGGAGGCAG